UUGGGAACUUAAAAAGGCAAAAGCAAAAAAAGUGUCAUUUCAUUUCACCGAAAGGUUUCGGGGGUUAGGGUUUGUGUUCCGGCAUAAAAGGCAGUGUAAUGGCUGUGGAAUUAGUCGGAGAGGAAGAUGUUGUGGAUUUGAACAAAUUUAGUUGUGAGUGCAAUUCAUACGACAAAUCUUCUCUAAAACUGGUCGGCAGAUUACUUACGGAGAGACCAUUCAAUUUUGAAACAAUGGAGAAAUUCAUGAAUCUUGUUUGAAAUUUACCAGAAGACGCCAUUGUAAGUCCAAUUGGAGAAAAAAACCUCUUCCUUUUCGAAAUCUUCGAUCGGGGACAUAAGCAGAAGGUUUUAGACGGAAGACCUUGGUGUUUUGGUGACUGAUUACUUAUUUUGCAAGAAACCUCAACUCAAUUGGAACCCUCUGAGUUUAUUCUUAAUCAUUCUCCUUUUUGGGUCAGGUUAUAUAACUUACCUUUUGGGUAUCGAUCAAAUGAGAUCAUUAAAGCAAUUUCUGCAUCGAUUGGGGAGGUUUUAGAGGUUGAAGAUGAUGAUUAUGCGGAACUUGAACCAUUCCGUAGAGUCAAGGUAAUGAUUGAUGUUACAAAACCUAUUAAGAGAUUCCAACGUAUUCGUAUCAAGGGAGGUGACACUGUGAAAAUUGACAUAAAGUAUGACGAGUCGCCACACAUCUGUUGUUUGUUUGGUAUGAUGAGCCAUACAAAUGAAUGUUGUACUUUGGUCACUAAGGAAAACAAUGAGUUGGGAUUUGGAUGGAGUUUUGAUUUGAAGGCACCCCCUCUUGUAGAGGUACGCAAACCUAAAAUGAAGGCUCAAGAUUAUAUGCAUCCAUCCUAUAGAGCAUAGAAUGUCGCGGAUAUGGCAGAGAUUAGGGCUAAUAAUGCUUCAAUGUCCAAAGAGCUUCCUUCCAGUUCAAGUUUAAGUAUCUCCUAUCUAUUGGGUGUUCGUCCUUAUAGCUUUCCUCCUGGUCGCUGUGAUUGUUUAAUCCUUUGGGAGAAAGACAAUCGUGCUGCCGUCAUUACCCAUUGUGCUAUGAAAGUUUUGAAAGCCUUCAACUCUAGAUGUUCAACUGACUAUGAGAUAGAAGAUUGUAUGGAUACCUGUUGUUCUACUGAUCGUUGUGGUUUUUUUCAUUGCAACUUUACUGCCAAGCCCAAUACACGUCCCUUAAUUGCUGACGAUUAUUCUUCCAAGGUGUUCUUUGCUGAGAUUCAGAAAGAUAAUAAUGGUGAACAAGUUCCAACUGCUUACUCUAUACUGCAUGGUAUAGAGACCAAGCUUGGCUGUGAGAUGUGCCCAGAAAUGAUUAAUCAUCCCAUCUCUUGAUCUGAUGAAGAGCUACUUUUUCGUUAAUGGCUUAAUGCGGUAUUUUUUUUCAUCAAUUUAGGUAUUUUUUUCAUCGAUUGAAACAAUUUCAUCCAGUUUCCUGAGAGAGCGUCUUUUAGAGACGCUUCUUAGGUCCAACCCAUUUAAAGCUUAAUUUCUACUCUUAAUCUACAUUUUUCUUUAUGGGCCAACUCAAUUAGAGAUUGUCUCUCACAAGAAUUUGUAAAACAAUUUUGGUCGUUAAUUCUAACACUUACGAUUUUAACAUUCUUGUUUUUCGUUUUAAACUAAGAUUAUCAAAAUUUAUUAACAAAUUUGACGUUUGAUAUUUCAUUAUUACUUAAAAGAUUUUAUUUAAGAUUUAAACUGUUAGAUUGAAUAAAGGCUUAUUUGGUAUGAAUUAUUUUCGGAGAAGCCAUAUGGUGUAUAUUUAUAAAGCUACGAAAGUAAAUUAUAGAGUAAAAUAAAGAUAAUGUAGUAUAAAACUAAUUUUAAGUUUAAGUUGAAAAAUAAAUAAAAUAGUACUCUUUAUAUAUUAAAGUCAAAUCUCAGCUUAUCCAUUCUCCCCUGUAUAAAAGUAAUAGCAGUAGUAAAAAUAGUAGUAGGAAGUAAAUAAUAAUAAUAAUAAUAAUAAUAAUAAUAAUAAUAAUAAUAAUAAUAAUAUAUUAAAGAAAAGGAAAAUUAAACCCACAUGUUUUCACGCAAACUCACCCCCUUAUGCCUUAUUGUACCAUUUGAGAAAUUAAUAUUUUUAGAAUUGGAGAAUUUAAAAUUAAUAUUAGAACGAGAAUUAUUUUGAAUUGAGUCGAUAAUUUAUUUUGGGGUAAGAUAACAAAGAAACAGAUUGGGUCUAAGUAUAUGGCGGAUAUUAUAAAAUAUCUCUUCUAAUUUUAUUAAUUUGUUUUCCUUUUCAUUUCUUAUUUGAUUAAAUUUUUUUUUAAUUCUUCCUACUUCUAAUUUGGUAACCGAAAAACUAAGAAAAAAUAAAAAUAAGGCAAAAUUAUAAAAAACUACCUAAUAUAUACCCUAUUUAGUAAAAAACUACCUUAUGUAAAAAUUUUUGCAAAAAACGACCUUAUAUAAUACAAUUGUUUGCAAAACACUACCUUAUAACGGUUUGUGGGCUUUGACUGCUAACUUUAACCGUUGACCCGCAUGUGACACUCACGUGAUGUUUAAAUGUAUUUAAUUCUUCUUCAUUUCAGUUCAGUCCAUUCAAAAUCCCUUCUUUCUUCCUGCCAUUUUCAGGAGCGUUGCCAUGGCCUUAUGCAUAGAACCCUGUGUCACUACUCACUAUUAGGCAUUAGCAAUAGCCACUCUAUUCACUACUCUCCAUUUUCCCAUACACCUAUCACGUAAUCCCUUACCUCCAAACCCUUUCCUUUCUCUUUCUUCCUCCCACCAUCAACAAUCCUUUUUCACCAUUGUCAACCUCUAAAUGUACUUCAUUCAUUAGCCUCCAUGUUCUGGUAAGAUACUUAUUCACCCUUUUAAGCAUGAAAAACAGAGUUAUUAGCAUUUAGCAUUUCACAUGCACACAUUUUAAGCAUGAAAAACAGAGUGUAUUAUUUCUCCUUGCAACUUCACAGUUUCAGUUUUUAACCUUUUUUUUAAUUUCUUUUUUCUUAAAAAAGAACUAAAUGGAGACUUAUAAUCUACAAUCCAUCCAUGUUCAUAUCAUAAACAUGAUUUUAAUGAUCUGGGUAGUUUCAGUUUCAAGCUUAUCACCAGAUGGGCAAGCUUUAUUAUCUCUGUUAUCAGCUGCAGACCCCAUUUCAAAAUCAUCAUCUUCAAAAUGAUCAUCUUCGAUUCCGCCAAAGUUGGGUUCGUGUUCCCAGCUCACAAAUUUGUACUUACACAUGAAUAAGAUGACGGGCGAAAUACCCCCUCAGUUGGGUAGACUUAAGAAGCUCAGUAGCUUACUUCUAUGGGGGAAUACUCUAUCGGGCAGUAUUCCAGCCGAGCUGUCGAAUUGUUCGAACUUGAUUGUGCUUGAUUUAUCAGCUAAUAAUUUAUCUAGAGAGAUUCCUGGUGAAUUGGGGAAAUUGGUGUUGUUACAGCAGCUUCAUCUAUCGGAUAAUUUACUAACAGGUUCAAUUCCUUCUGAAUUGAGUAACUGUACUAGUCUCAUUACUAUACAGUUUGAUAAGAAUCAACUUUCAGGUUUUAUUCCUCCUCAGAUAGGAGAUCUUAAGUUUUUGCAGAGCUUUUUCCUAUGGGGAAACUCGGUGUCUGGGACUAUUCUUGCCGAGUUUAGGAAUUGUAGUGAGCUAUACACGCUCGAUCUUUCGAGGAAUAAGCUUACUGGGUCAAUCCUAGAGGAAAUUUUAGGAUUGAAGAAGCUCAGCAAGCUGUUGUUGCUGGGGAAUGCAUUGACUGGUGGGUUGUCACUGGCUAUCGCAAACUGUGAGUCGAUGGUGAGAUUGAGGCUGGGAGAAAAUCGACUUUCUGGACAGAUUCCGAAAGAGAUAGGGCAGUUGCAGAAUCUUGUUUUUCUCGACUUGUAUAUGAAUCAAUUUUCGGGUAAUCUCCUUCAUGAGAUUGGUAAUGUCACUGUCCUUGAGCUGCUUGAUUUGCACAAUAAUCAUUUGACAGGAGAAAUCCCAUCUGAGUUAUCGCUGGAAAUGGCAGGAAGAAAGAAGGGAUUUCGAAUGGACUGAACUGAAAUGAAGAAGAACUAAAUACAUUUAAACAUCACGUGAGUGUCACAUGCGGGUCAACGGUUAAAAUUAGCGGUCAAAGGCCACAAACCGUUAUAAGAUCGGAAUCGAUCGGGAACGAUGGGUUAACGGUGAUGUUUAGAGUUACAUGGAUGUUAAAUUGAGAUGAGUACGUGAGAAGUUGUAGCUUUGUAUUAGGUUUUGGUAAAUGUAUAUUUGACUAGAUUGUAUUGGUUAUGUUGGACUUUUAUAGUGACUUUUAUGAUUA